GGUCGCGUAGCUCAGCUGGAUAGAGCACCUGCCUUCUAAGCAGGCGGUCCCAGGUUCGAAUCCUGGCGCGAUCACCA
rnacentral:tRNA from 3 species